rnacentral:rRNA from 1 species
CCCUUAGACGUUCUGGGCCGCACGCGCGCUACACUGAACAGUUCAACAAGUCUUAACCUUGGCCGAUAGGUCUGGGUAAUCUUUGAACGCUGUUCGUGAUUGGGAUAGACCUUUGCAAUUAUGGGUCUUCAACGAGGAAUUCCUAGUAAACGCAAGCCAUCAGCUUGCAUUGAUUACGUCCCUGCCCUUUGUACACACCGCCCGUCGCACCUACCGAUUGAAUGGUCCGGUGAAAUCUCGGGACGGCGGCUCGGUCGCUUGCGUCCGACUGCUGAAACUUGAUUAAACCAUAUCAUUUAGAGGAAGGUGAANUCGUANCA